rnacentral:rRNA from 1 species
UACAGAGGUCUCAAGCGUUGUUCGGAUUCAUUGGGCGUAAAGGGUGCGUAGGUGGCGAGGCAAGUCGGAUGUGAAAUCCCGGGGCUCAACCCCGGAACUGCAUUCGAUACUGCCUUGCUAGAGUACUGGAGAGGAGAUUGGAAUUUACGGUGUAGCAGUGAAAUGCGUAGAUAUCGUAAGGAAGACCAGUGGCGAAGGCGGAUCUCUGGACAGUUACUGACACUGAGGCACGAAGGCCAGGGAGCAAACGGG